GAAUACCCUUCGAGAGGAUCUGCGGGCGACUUCUCCGUGGGGUGCAGGCGCAAGGUGGAGACGUGGAGAUCGCAGAAGAAGGAGGUGAAGAGGUGCGGAGCCAGGCCAGAGAGAUGGAGGGGCCCUGGGAGGCACGGCAUUGGGAGAGCUCCGGCGAGCGGCGGUGGCGGCAACGUACGCAGCGUGUGAGCAUCAGCUUUCUCUGACGGCGGCACAGGUCCAAGGCUGAGAAGGCAAGAGAGGAGACCCUCUCUGACCAGUUUGAGGCCAAGCGUGCCAAGAGCAAGGCUAGCUAGCAGGGAGAGGAAUAUUGCGAGGAGGCAGGAGAGAUUGGCUCAGAGAUGCUUAUGCAGGGUUUCUUUAAUCAUUUUGGUUCAUGGUACCAGCUAAUGAAAUUUACGUGCUCUGAUGAUGAAUUCGUGCCAUGUCGAGUUGGAUUGGCGGUGGCGUAUUUUUCCUCUUGUAGUCAAAUUAGUGAGAUGCUUCGUUCUCUUCUUUAUGUGAACGUACAUGUAUGACCAGUGUAAUUAGGUGCAGUAGUUUUGGUCAAU